GGUCAGAACACAGAAGGAAUGGCUCCAUCUGUCAGGAAAGGACAACCAGGCUUCCUCGUUUUCUCUUCAAUGCUCUCCACAAAGGUGACAAUAACACCUGAUUUUACAGAGGACAAUUUUCUUAACAUUUAAAAUAUGCCCCCCCACCACCCCCCAGCCAUAGCGAGAAAGCUGUAAAUCCCAGCAGCUGCCAUUUGAGGUAGGCCAGACAUGUAGCUGAAUGGCAGAAGGGGAAACGGGACGUGCUUCAGAGACACGUGAGGAAGCCUGGGCUUCUGAGAAGGUUGAUUAGAACAGUGGUAGCAAGAGGACGGGAGAGCCGUGCUUCCCUGAAGAAAAGACUUAACAGAGCAAUUGGGCCUCAACUCCACAGGCAACCGCAGCACAGAUGGGAAUUCUGGGAAGGAAAUGGCACUGCGUCAUCAAUGGAAAACGCGUCCCUCCAAUCCCCUUAACAUGGCUUAACAAACAUCUACCUCCCUAGCCACGUUAGCCAAGGAGUUGAUUGCCCUUCCCAGCUAGAAUGCUAGGUCUCCCCCAAGUCAGAGAGUGCAUUUUCUUGACCAGAAGGAAAUAGUUUCCCCUAAAUGGGCGUUACUGCUACUGUGACGCUGAUGAUCAGGGUGCCUCGGUGGGGGCCUCUGCUCUCCAGGGCUCUGGGUCUUUCACAUGGGAUCGAAUUCCCUCUCCAUAGUCCCCUGGGGUGGGGGUCAAUCCAUGUUAGACAUGUUUGAAUCACACAGGUCUCAGGGUCAGAGCCAGGCAGAGGCCCAAGAGAGAGACAUUGUGGAGUGGAAAACAGGGGAAAGCAGGCAGGAUGGAGGCCAGACAAGAGACAAUGGAUGCACGUAUUUUGAAACCAGUGUGCAUGGUGCCUCUACCCACUUCCCACUUUCUGAAAACUCACCAGUGAUCUCAGAGGAAAGCCAGAUGGCAGGAAGGGCUGUGGGUCCCCUGCCCAGCCUCCAGGUCACCCCUGUCUGUCCCUGGCUGCCUUUCUGUCUGCACUGCCUUCUCCUGCACCUGCCCCCUCCCUUGGCUUUCACUGUGGCUUUUCCAUCCCAGGAGUAUCUCUACCAGGGAGCAGGAGGCCAAGCCCGGGCCAGCCAGCCUCAGUCAGAUCAAACGCUUCCAAGUCGGCUGCCUCUCCCAUUACGGAAUUGCUGACACCACCACCAGUGGAUUCACGCCACUGUCACUGUCACUGCUGGCUACCCAGAGUGCCUGUCUUCCAGGAGUCUACCCAGGAAUGGAAACCAUGACUCUUGACCCUUGCCAGCUACAGGAGAGAAGAUGGAACAUGAGAGGACUGAGGAGGGACGUACAUACGGGGAACGGGAAGGGGGCACGUGAGAGGGGAGAGGAAGAAAGGAGAACACUCCCUUUGUACAAUGAGGAGAGCAGUGGUGAGGGGUGUGAGGUAAAGUGGAGAUGUUGGGGCUCUGGUCCACACGAUGCAAAUGUAGACCAGCACUCUGUAGCUUCUCUUUCUUUCUCCCAGCGUAAGCUGUUCCUAUCCAGGGUACGAUGUAGCGUCAUCCAUUGCUUUCCGUGUGAGGGGGCGAGUGGAACUGGUAAGUGGUAAGCGAGGGCCCAACAGUCACUAAUGCUCACCAAGCGCACCCUACCACACACACACAGACCACACAGAGGUGAAGGCGGAGAGCUCUCCUUGACCUCGGGCUGUGAUUCCUGGCCAAGGCCUGGACACAGACCAUAGCAACGAGCACAGAGGUCGCAGGCACCGGUGGGCUAAGCAGGGAUAAUGGCUGGUGGUAGGUAGGCAGUGGCUCAGGACCAUUCUGGGGGACAAUCAGGUUUACAGGGCAGGAGGUCAAGCCUCGGUGCAUGGUGUGGAAAGUCUCCAGGGAAACAAGACACGGGAGUGUCCUCAAACUGGAACAGGAAGGCAGGGGUAAUGGUAAUGGGUGAGAUUCUUAGUAAGAGAGCAAAGUGGACCAUGAUCCGCCUCUUAAAAGUCCCUGUGGGUAGGGGGCACACAAAAAGAAAGAUCCAGAAAAAAAGGCUCAGAAGGAAAUUUUAAAUAGAAGGCUCGGGUAUUUGCAAGGAAAGAAGAAUGUAAGGGAAGGCAGUCUCUUUGCCCAAGUAAAGCUCUGGAUUUCCAUUAGAAAAGAUGGACUAAAACCACCAUUUGUUGGCAAGAGCAGAACAUUUUCAACAGUGCCUGCUAACUGCCUGCCUCGGGAAAGCCAGUCCACAGAGCUAAGCACACAAGCAGCCCUGCUGUGUCCGGCAUCUGGGGUGGACACCCCAAUUCCAC
rnacentral:lncRNA from 1 species